UUAAAGCUAUCCACAAUGUGCAGAGACAACUUUCUUCAAUAAAGUUGUCACAUUUAACAUUUGCUUCUCUGGUAUGAAAGAAGAAGUGAACAGAUUCUGAGCACCUUUGUGUGAUAUGGAAAAAUGUAUUUGCAGAAAAGAUGUUGGCUCAGAUGCAUCACGUUCUGUUCGGUUCUGGAUGAAACAGUGUCCGUUCCCCUCAUUGAAUCCCAACAUCCAUGAGACGCGAUUCUUCAAUCAACCAUUGCAUCUUUCCGACUUAUUUGUUUUAAUGCUCAGAAAGAUGCUGCCAAAUCUGCUGACUGUGUUGUCCUUGAUGCCAUUCCCUCUGGGUGAGGGACAUUCAUUGUCACCGUGGGCAAAAGACUUGAGUUGUGCCAUCCACUGCAGUAGGACUUGUGACCUGAAGAGGUGGUGGCCAUCUCAUCCUGGUGGCUGUCAAGGUGAUAGCUGCACUAAGUUUUUAUGCAACU